rnacentral:snoRNA from 1 species
CUCAUGCUGUGUGCAUGGUUGUCACCUGUGUCUGAUAGCAGUGUCUGUGUUUUGCAUUCAGAUCUUGCUAUGCACACAAACAUCGUGUAGCCAACGAGUAAGCUGGGAUCAUAGUACUGGUCUCGUGUUGUGUCUUUGGACAUACCUUCCCCUUGACAGUCUCCAAAUUCCCACACACGG